rnacentral:rRNA from 1 species
ACUAUGAAGAGUUUGAUCCUGGCUCAGGAUGAACGCUAGCGACAGGCUUAACACAUGCAAGUCGAGGGGCAGCACGAUCUAGCAAUAGAUUGGUGGCGACCGGCGCACGGGUGAGUAACGCGUAUACAACCUUCCCUAUACAGGGGUAUAGCCCAUGGAAACGUGGAUUAACCCCCCAUAGUAUUAUCGGAUCGCAUGAUCUGGUAAUUAAAUCUCCGGAGGUAUAGGAUGGGUAUGCGUCCCAUUAGGUAGUAGGUAAGGUAACGGCUUACCUAGCCAAUGAUGGGUAGGGGUUCUGAGAGGAAGGUCCCCCACACUGGAACUGAGACACGGUCCAGACUCCUACGGGAGGCAGCAGUGAGGAAUAUUGGUCAAUGGCCGCCAGGCUGAACCAGCCAAGUCGCGUGAAGGAUGACUGCCCUAUGGGUUGUAAACUUCUUUUAUUUGGGAAGAAUAAAUUCUACGUGUAGAAUGAUGCCUGUACCAAAUGAAUAAGCAUCGGCUAACUCCGUGCCAGCAGCCGCGGUAAUACGGAGGAUGCGAGCGUUAUCCGGAUUUAUUGGGUUUAAAGGGUGCGCAGGCGGUUUAAUAAGUUAGUGGUUAAAAUUCUGGGCUUCACUCAGUCAUGCCAUUAAAACUGUCGAACUAGAGUAUAUUUGAGGUAGGCGGAAUAAGUUAAGUAGCGGUGAAAUGCUUAGAUAUAACUUAGAACACCAAUAGCGAAGGCAGCUUACCAAACUAUAACUGACGCUCAAGCACGAAAGCAUGGGUAGCGAACAGGAUUAGAUACCCUGGUAGUCCAUGCCGUAAACGAUGUUCACUGACUUUGUGCAAUAUGAUCGUACGAGGUUAAUCGAAAGAGUUAAGUGAACCACCUGGGGAGUACGUCGGCAACGAUGAAACUCAAAGGAAUUGACGGGGGCCCGCACAAGCGGAGGAACAUGUGGUUUAAUUCGAUGAUACGCGAGGAACCUUACCUGGGUUUAAAUGUAGAUUGCAUAGAGUGGAAACAUUCUUUUCCUUCGGGACUAUUUACAAGGUGCUGCAUGGUUGUCGUCAGCUCGUGCCGUGAGGUGUCGGGUUAAGUCCCAUAACGAGCGCAACCCCUAUCUUUAGUUGCCAUCAGGUCAUGCUGGGGACUCUAGAGAGACUGCCGCCGUAAGGUGAGAGGAAGGGGGGGAUGACGUCAAAUCAGCACGGCCCUUACAUCCAGGGCUACACACGUGUUACAAUGGCCGGUACAGAGGGCCGCCACAUAGCGAUAUGGAGCAAAUCUCAAAAACCGGUCGUAGUUCGGAUUGGAGUCUGUAACCCGACUCCAUGAAGUUGGAUUCGCUAGUAAUCGCGCAUCAGCCAUGGCGCGGUGAAUACGUUCCCGGGCCUUGUACACACCGCCCGUCAAGCCAUGGGAGCCGGGAGUACCUGAAGUACGUAACCGCAAGGAGCGUCCUAGGGUAAUACUGGUGACUGGGGCUAAGUCGUAACAAGGUAGCCGUACCGGAAGGUGUGGCUGGAACACCUCCUUU